rnacentral:rRNA from 1 species
GAUGAACGCUGGCGGGGUGUAUAAUACAUGCAAGUCGAGCGAACGGACGAGAAGCUUGCUUCUCUGAUGUUAGCGGCGGACGGGUGAGUAACACGUGGAUAACCUACCUAUAAGACUGGGAUAACUUCGGGAAACCGGAGCUAAUACCGGAUAAUAUUUUGAACCGCAUGGUUCAAAAGUGAAAGACGGUCUUGCUGUCACUUAUAGAUGGAUCCGCGCUGCAUUAGCUAGUUGGUAAGGUAACGGCUUACCAAGGCAACGAUGCAUAGCCGACCUGAGAGGGUGAUCUGCCACACUGGAACUGAGACACGGUCCAGACUCCUACGGGAGGCAGCAGUAGGGAAUCUUCCGCAAUGGGCGAAAGCCUGACGGAGCAACGCCGCGUGAGUGAUGAAGGUCUUCGGAUCGUAAAACUCUGUUAUUAGGGAAGAACAUAUGUGUAAGUAACUGUGCACAUCUUGACGGUACCUAAUCAGAAAGCCACGGCUAACUACGUG